UGCUGGUCCGAUGGCAGUGGGUUAUUAGAACUUAUUAACAUUAGUGCCACUAAAGUUGGUAUACCACCCCCCCCCCACUGCUAAAUUUGACUGGCUUUAA
ensembl:misc_RNA Y_RNA Y RNA